CGGCUAACUUCGUGCCAGCAGCCGCGGUAAUACGAAGGGACCUAGCGUAGUUCGGAAUUACUGGGCUUAAAGAGUUCGUAGGUGGUUGAAAAAGUUAGUGGUGAAAUCCCAGAGCUUAACUCUGGAACUGCCAUUAAAACUUUUCAGCUAGAGUAUGAUAGAGGAAAGCAGAAUUUCUAGUGUAGAGGUGAAAUUCGUAGAUAUUAGAAAGAAUACCAAUUGCGAAGGCAGCUUUCUGGAUCAUUACUGACACUGAGGAACGAAAGCAUGGGUAGCGAAGAGGAUUAGAUACCCUCGUAGUCCAUGCCGUAAACGAUGUGUGUUAGACGUUGGAAAUUUAUUUUCAGUGUCGCAGGGAAACCGAUAAACACACCGCCUGGGGAGUACGACCGCAAGGUUAAAACUCAAAUGAAUUGACGGGGACCCGCACAAGUAGUGGAGCAUGUGGUUUAAUUCGAAGAUACGCGCAGAACCUUACCAACACUUGACAUGUUCGUCGCGACUCUAAGAGAUUAGAGUUUUCGGUUCGGCCGGACGAAACACAGGUGCUGCAUGGCUGUCGUCAGCUCGUGUCGUGAGAUGUUGGGUUAAGUCCCGCAACGAGCGCAACCCUCACUUUUAGUUGCCAUCAUUAAGUUGGGCACUCUGAAAGAACUGCCAGUGAUAAGCUGGAGGAAGGUGGGGAUGACGUCAAGUCCUCAUGGCCCUUACGUGUUGGGCUACACACGUGCUACAAUGGUAUCUACAACAGGAAGCAAAACUGCGAAGUUAAGCAAAUCCCUAAAAGAUACCUCAGUUCGGAUUGCACUCUGCAACUCGAGUGCAUGAAGCUGGAAUUACUAGUAAUCGUGGAUCAGCGUGCCACGGUGAAUGCGUUCCCGGGUCUUGUACACACCGCCCGUCACACCAUGGGAGUUGGUUCUACCUUAAGGCAAGGUUUCAAACCCUUGACA
rnacentral:rRNA from 1 species